ACUCCUACGGGAGGCAGCAGUGGGGAAUAUUGCACAAUGGGCGCAAGCCUGAUGCAGCCAUGCCGCGUGUAUGAAGAAGGCCUUCGGGUUGUAAAGUACUUUCAGCAGUGAGGAGGUGGGUAUGUUAAUAGCAUAUUCAUUUGACGUUAGCUGCAGAAGAAGCACCGGCUAACUCCGUGCCAGCAGCCGCGGUAAUACGGAGGGUGCGAGCGUUAAUCGGAAUUACUGGGCGUAAAGCGCAUGCAGGUGGUUUGUUAAGUCAGAUGUGAAAGCCCGGGGCUCAACCUCGGAAUUGCAUUUGAAACUGGCAAACUAGAGUACUGUAGAGGGGGUAGAAUUUCAGGUGUAGCGGUGAAAUGCGUAGAGAUCUGAAGGAAUACCGGUGGCGAAGGCGGCCCCCUGGACAGAUACUGACACUCAGAUGCGAAAGCGUGGGGAGCAAACAGGAUUAGAUACCCUGGUAG
rnacentral:rRNA from 1 species